rnacentral:rRNA from 1 species
GACGAACGCUGGCGGCGUGCUUAACACAUGCAAGUCGAGCGGUAAGGCCUUUCGGGGUACACGAGCGGCGAACGGGUGAGUAACACGUGGGUGACCUGCCUUUAGCUUCGGGAUAAGCCUGGGAAACCGGGUCUAAUACCGGAUAUGACUCCAUGACGCAUGUCGUGGGGUGGAAAGCCUUGUGCGGCUGGGGAUGGGCCCGCGGCCUAUCAGCUUGUUGGUGGGGUGAUGGCCUACCAAGGCGACGACGGGUAGCCGGCCUGAGAGGGCGACCGGCCACACUGGGACUGAGACACGGCCCAGACUCCUACGGGAGGCAGCAGUGGGGAAUCUUGCGCAAUGGGCGAAAGCCUGACGCAGCGACGCCGCGUGA